AGGCGACGAUCCGUAGCUGGUCUGAGAGGAUGAUCAGCCACAUCGGGACUGAGACACGGCCCGAACUCCUACGGGAGGCAGCAGUGGGGAAUAUUGGACAAUGGGCGAAAGCCUGAUCCAGCCAUGCCGCGUGUGUGAAGAAGGCCUUUUGGUUGUAAAGCACUUUAAGCAGGGAGGAGAGGCUAAUGGUUAAUACCCAUUAGAUUAGACGUUACCUGCAGAAUAAGCACCGGCUAACUCUGUGCCAGCAGCCGCGGUAAUACAGAGGGUGCGAGCGUUAAUCGGAUUUACUGGGCGUAAAGCGUGCGUAGGCGGCUUUUUAAGUCGGAUGUGAAAUCCCUGAGCUUAACUUAGGAAUUGCAUUCGAUACUGGGAAGCUAGAGUAUGGGAGAGGAUGGUAGAAUUCCAGGUGUAGCGGUGAAAUGCGUAGAGAUCUGGAGGAAUACCGAUGGCGAAGGCAGCCAUCUGGCCUAAUACUGACGCUGAGGUACGAAAGCAUGGGGAGCAAACAGGAUUAGAUACCCUGGUAGUCCACGCCGUAAAC
rnacentral:rRNA from 1 species